UACAUCUCUAUGUACCUGACCCCAUAACAAACCAUACUUUGAUUGUUUAUUUCCAUUUAAUUAUUUGUGUAUGUGAGCCAAUGGCACCAAAUAGUCAUGAGAUCAUCUGUGAUUUCAGCAGUCUCUAUGUGCCCAUGAUCAGCUAUGAUUCCCAUGCACUCCUCCCUUUUAUAAUUGUUACAACAUGUUUUUUUAUGUUAG